rnacentral:rRNA from 1 species
GACGAACGCUGGCGGCGUGCUUAACACAUGCAAGUCGAACGAAAAUACCAAGCUUGCUUGGUUGAUUAGUGGCGAACGGGGGAGUAACACGUGAGUAACCUGCCCCUUACUUUCCUGGAUAACUGCUCGAAAGGGUAGCUAAUACGGGAUAUUCUGACCAGCCUGCAUGGGUUGGUUUGGAAAGGUUGUUUUUCUGGUAAGGGAUGGGGUCGCGGCCUCUCAGCUUGUUGGUGGGGGGUUGGCCUACCAUGGCUUUGACGGGUGGCCGGCCUGAGAGGGGGGACGGUCACACUGGGACGGGGAUCCGGCCCAGACUCCUACGGGAGGCAGCGGUGGGGAAGAUGGCACAAUGGGCGAAAGCCUGAUGCAGCGACGCCGCGUGAGGGAUGAAGGCCUUCGGGUUGUAAACCUCUUUCGUCAGGGAACAAGGCACUGCUUUUGUGGUGGUGUUGAGGGUACCUGGAUAAGAAGCGCCGGCUAACUACGUG